GCUGGCGACCGGCGCACGGGUGAGUAACACGUAUCCAACCUACCCUUUACUCGGGGAUAGCCUUUCGAAAGAAAGAUUAAUACCCGAUAGCAUAAUGAUUCCGCAUGGUUUCAUUAUUAAAGGAUUCCGGUAAAGGAUGGGGAUGCGUUCCAUUAGGUUGUUGGUGAGGUAACGGCUCACCAAGCCUUCGAUGGAUAGGGGUUCUGAGAGGAAGGUCCCCCACAUUGGAACUGAGACACGGUCCAAACUCCUACGGGAGGCAGCAUG
rnacentral:rRNA from 1 species